GGGUGCGUGGCGCAAUGGUUUAGCGUGUUUGGCUUCGAUGCUUCCGUAAACCACGACCAAAAGGUUGCAGGUUCGAGUCCUGCCGUGCUCA